rnacentral:misc_RNA from 1 species
AAGUCGUAACAAGGUUUCCGUAGGUGAACCUGCGGAAGGAUCAUUAUUGAAUAAAUCUGAUGUGGUUGUAGCUGGCUCCCUUAAAGAGCAUGUGCACACCCGUCACCUUUAUCUUUCCACCUGUGCACACACUGUAGUCCUGGAUACCUCUCGCUGCAAGGCGGAUGCAGAGGCUGCUGUGCCUUCGAAAGAAGGUCAGCUUUCUCUGAAUUUCCAGGUCUACGAAUCUUAUACACCCCAAACGAAUGUUAUAGAAUGUAAUCUUUAUCAGGCCUUUGUGCCUAUAAAACCUAUACAACUUUCAGCAACGGAUCUCUUGGCUCUC